UUUGUUUCGGUCAUUGGUUUUUGAAAAUUACCCUGUAAAUUGUUUAUUAUUAUAAACGUGAUAAUAUAUAUUUAUUAUUAUACAUAUUUGAAACAUAGGAAUAAUCGAGCACAAGGUACAGUCUACUCGUGCGUUGCAUGGAUAUUUUCACAGAAUGCGCAUACGGGAAAAUCCGUUAAGUCUAAAUAUACUCUGAUGGUAACACUGUGCCGCAAUAUCCGUUCUCCUCGUUCAGCUAUCGGUAGACAAGAUGCAGUUAUUUUCGUUCGAAAUACACUAUGAUUUCCAUCAUUUUAAAAUGUUUGAUUAAUCUACCAGACGUUUAUGAGAGAAGUUAAACAGACCGUUACCCGCAUAGAUCAACAGGUUUAAUAAAGAAACCCAUCGUCCAAA